AACAGUUUCUUCACAGUUUUCUGCUGUUCCUCGGUCAUGAAAACAGGUUUCCUUCCAGAGUAAAGACACAAACAAAGUGAAAGUUGUCAAUGACGACUCUGAUGAAGAGGUUGAAGGUGAAGAAGGUGGUGAUGAUGAAACAGAUGUAGAACAGACUGACCAGCACCAGCAGCGACAGGAAACCACUCGGCACGCUGUCGAAGUUGAACUUUGCGUUCUUCCAGCGGGCCUCGGUGUAGUUGUCAUUGAUCAGAGAGAAGCAGUCCGUCUUGUUGUCCACCACAGAAGGUGAGAAGGAUUCCUCUGACGUCUCAUUGACACAGUGAUAAAACCGUCCAGCAAACAGAUCCACUCCCAUGAUGCUGAAGAUCAACCAGACCACCAUAAACACCAGCAGCAUGUUCCACGUGGAGCAGACGGUCCGGACCACGGCCUCCACUGCGAGCUGCACACAGACAGGAAUCCUGCAGGUUGUGUGCAGCGUAGAGAGUAACAUGACUCCUCCCCCUCAAGUCAGUGCAGCCGUCGAAAAAAGACAAAGUCUGCCGUAGGAUAUGCCGUUUAUUGUUUAUUAUUUUGUUCAUUCGCAUGUUUACAUUUACUUAGUAUCUGUCUUGUCUCUUAUCUUAGU